rnacentral:hammerhead_ribozyme from 1 species
AUCCAGUUGAUGAGUCCCAAAUAGAGCGAAAUGCAUAUUUUGGAU